GGUAUUUGUAUCAUUCAAGUGGCGCAUGUAAUACCACAUGAUGGCUAAAUCUAGUUAUUCAUUGCCUCACUGCGGAACCAUUUCUUUUUCCAUACGAUGUGACGCAUGCAAGUGUGUGAUAAUUAUAUAGUCGCUAAUAAUCAUUUAUUUUUUGUUUUUUCUAUCUCCUAACAGAUAAAGUAUAUCAUUGUUCUCCUUGUUGUUUAAUUUUUAAUUUUAUUCAACAUUCAUUUAAUUUCUUGUUUUGUUUUUAUUGCUUUAAUGUAAGCUGUUUUUUCAAUUUAAAAAUUCAAUUAUAUUUUCUCAUGUAUUUUGUUUUUCAUUUUAGAGAUCAUUCUUUUUUUUUUUCAAUUUAAUCGUUCAGUUACAAGAAAUCGAAAAAUCGCGUGGGAAAAGAAUUGUGUUGGCACAGCGGAUCCAAACUCUCUGCACUGUGGACAUGCUUGAUUUGCCUUUGCGCCUAUUCGUCUCCCAGGCUCAGAGGUGAUUUGGUCUUGGCUGCGACAUGGUUUCGGGCUCUCGGAUGGGGUUGCCAUUGCCUUCUUUUGGCUUUCGUUUGAUCUCCCAGCUCUCGCAGUGCCUGGGUCCAGCUGGCUUGCGGGAGGCGUUGGCGGCUCUUGCUCUUGCUUUUCAUUUGGGAGCUGGGUGAGCUGCGUUUUCUUUGCCCUUGGUUUCUUUUUGCUUGCAGAGGCUCCAGUUGCAGGCUUGGGAAUCCAGGAGGCCAAUUUUUUUUAUCUGUCUGUCUUUGUUUCGGCUAUAGCUGGGUUUAAUUUUGGUUGGUUGUGAGUCUAUGCUCAGACUCGCGGGGGUGUUGGCGGUUUUUUUAGUCUGCGGAGGCUCCAUUUGCAGGCUUGGAAUUCCAGAGGAGGUUUUUUUUUUUUUUGCUCCGUCUGCCUUUCUUCUGGCUGUGGCUGGGUUUGGUUUUGAUUGGUUGUGAGUCUUGGCUCAGAAAAAGAUGGCGCGCGACGAUGACUUUGCAUUUAAUGUACACUAGGCUGGGUACUUGGUCCUUAGGGGUGUUGCUGCUUAUUGGAUCGGAUUGGACGUUUUCUAGAUGUGUAGACAUUUAGUUAGGGGAUUUUAGUUCAUCUAGCCUCUCUUUGGGUCUCUAAUGAUGUUGAAUUGUAAAAGGAAUAUUUGGGAUUGUUGGGGCUGUUUGGCUACUCUGUUGAUAAGCUACUUUUUCAGGUACUUUUGUUCUUCAUUUCCCUCUAAAAUUAACCUUGGAUUUAAUGAUUAACAUGAUUCUGUUGUUAGGCCUUGAGUUGUCUGUUGUCUUUAGACUGUUUGACAGGUGCUUUUGUUUGUGGAUUGCUUGCUGCAUUAGGAGUGCUGGAUUGAUGAACAAAUUUUUACAGGGUCCUUUUGCUUUAAAAAAAACAGGCUCUAGGCUUCUCAGGGUUGUUUCGUUGCUGUUCUUAUCAUGGGGUUAUGCAUGCCUGUCGUGGCCCUGUGGUGAGAGCAGGCGCCAGUUUUGAGCAGGUUCUUUGUUGAAAAAAAAAUGGCCCUUUGUUGCCUCCAUGUUUGUUUGUGAUCUCAACAAAGCCAUACUGUACUGCAAUUACUCAAUAUAACUGAUUCCUUCUUUCAUUUGCUGAUUGACUCGGACUGGCCUCCUCUUUUAUUGAUUUUAUAUUGUUCACACAUUUCUUCUUGCCCUCAAAUAUACUUGCAUUUUGAUAUGCUGCUUCUGACUAAUUCAUGAGCCUUACUGACUGCUCUCUGGACGCCUCAUUUCCCCCUUCUCACCCUCACUACAAUGUUAGUUUGCAAUCAACACAUUCCAAUAUACAAUGUGCUGAACCCAAUGAUGUUCAGCUUCCAAGGCCAAUAGCUUUUGCAGUGUAUCACUUGACAGAUCACUUCACAAUUUCUGAGCUUCACAACUGCUUGGAAAAAAUAGAUUUAGCUUGCAGUAUCUAGCAAUUCACUUACAACACUCUUACUUUUCAAAUGACUUCCUGCAUCCGCCACAUGCUCAAUUUAACAGUGUCGACUUACUCUUUCUUUCCUCUUAAUAAUUUACGUUGUUGGGAUUGGGAUGGACCACUAGAAACUCUACAAGGUGCAUGUAGCCAUUUUCUGUUUGCACGCUCUUUUGUUUAUUACUGACCAUCUCAUCUAUUUUGUUGUUUUGACCCUUCAUGUAUAUCGUCAAUCAUAUGAUACCUACCAGAUUGUCUUCUUCUUUUACCAUGUGCUGAACACAAUUUUCAAUAACCUCUUGCAUCAGCCUCGACAAUUUAAGCCACCACUGCCCUUUUUUUAAAGGGGUGUUUUACCCGUUCUCAAGCUCUUCUUCACUCAAACUGUUCGUAAAUAUAUUACCACUUUCAUUCAUGUACAUAAAUGGCUCUAUUUUUGUUGCAGAAGCAGUGAAAGUCCAAGAAAACAACGUCCUACACAAUAUGAUCAUUUUGCUAAAUGCCAUGUUAGCUGCUGUAGAUUUUUGCCUGCUAUUAGACUACAACUGUUGAAGAAAACUCCAUGCAACCUUUUUGCUGCACCAUGAUCGUGGUUGAUUUGAUUAGUCUCCAUGCAACUUUUUGUCUUGGUUAAUUCUCAAAUUAAACAAUGUUUAUAAUUUUGUAGUAAGGUGCUCUGGUUACAUGGACUAGCUACUUUAUAUGAAAAGGAUUUAAAUAUAUAUUUAGUUUGUUUUUAUGCUUUA